rnacentral:rRNA from 1 species
CAGCAGCCACGGUAAAACGUAGGGUGCAAGCGUUAAUCGGAAUUACUGGGCGUAAAGCGUGCGCAGGCGGUUCGUUAAGACAGAUGUGAAAUCCCCGGGCUUAACCUGGGAACCGCAUUUGUGACUGGCGGGCUAGAGUAUGGCAGAGGGGGGUAGAAUUCCACGUGUAGCAGUGAAAUGCGUAGAGAUGUGGAGGAAUACCGAUGGCGAAGGCAGCCCCCUGGGCCAAUACUGACGCUCAUGCACGAAAGCGUGGGGAGCAAACAGGAUUAGAUACCCGCGUAGUCCCUGUCUCUUAUAA